rnacentral:rRNA from 1 species
GACGAACGCUGGCGGCGUGCUUAACACAUGCAAGUCGAACGAGAAAGCCCUUCGGGGUGAGUACAGUGGCGAACGGGUGAGUAACACGUGGGCAACCUGCCCCAAGGAGCGGGACAACCCGGGGAAACUCGGGCUAAUACCGCAUGAUUCGCACAGCCUCAAGUCUGUGCGGCAAAUGGUAGCUUCGGCCUCCGCCUUGGGAUGGGCCCGCGGCGCAUUAGCUUGUUGGUGGGGUAACGGCCACCAAGGCGACGAUGCGUAGCUGGUCUGAGAGGACGAUCAGCCACACUGGGACUGAGACACGGCCCAGACUCCUACGGGAGGCAGCAGUGGGGAAUCUUGCGCAAUGGGCGAAAGCCUGACGCAGCAACGCCGCGUGAGGGAAGACGGCU